rnacentral:rRNA from 1 species
GACGAACGCUGGCGGCGUGCUUAACACAUGCAAGUCGAACGGAAAGGCCCUGCUUUUGUGGGGUGCUCGAGUGGCGAACGGGUGAGUAACACGUGAGUCACCUUCCCUUGACUUUGGGAUAACUUCAGGAAACUGGGGCUAAUACCGGAUAGGAGCUCCUGCUGCAUGGUGGGGGUUGGAAAGUUUCGGCGGUUGGGGAUGGACUCGCGGCUUAUCAGCUUGUUGGUGGGGUAGUGGCUUACCAAGGCUUUGACGGGUAGCCGGCCUGAGAGGGUGACCGGCCACAUUGGGACUGAGAUACGGCCCAGACUCCUACGGGAGGCAGCAGUGGGGAAUAUUGCACAAUGGGCGGAAGCCUGAUGCAGCAACGCCGCGUGCGGGAUGACGGCCUUCGGGUUGUAAACCGCUUUCGCCUGUGACGAAGCGUGAGUGACGGUAAUGGGUAAAGAAGCACCGGCUAACUACGUG